rnacentral:rRNA from 1 species
UGGGGAAUCUUGCGCAAUGGACGAAAGUCUGACGCAGCGACGCCGCGUGGGGGAUGAAGGGUUUCGGCUUGUAAACCCCUGUUGCCCGGGACGAAACGCCACUUUCGAGUGGCUUGACGGUACCGGGUGAGGAAGCACCGGCUAACUCCGUGCCAGCAGCCGCGGUAAUACGGAGGGUGCGAGCGUUGUCCGGAAUCACUGGGCGUAAAGGGCGCGUAGGUGGCGCGGCAAGUCAACGGUGAAAGCUCGACGCUCAACGUCGAGUCGGCCGUCGAUACUGCCGCGCUGGAGCACUGUAGAGGCUCAUGGAAUUCCGGGUGUAGCGGUGGAAUGCGUAGAGAUCCGGAAGAACACCGGUGGCGAAGGCGGUGAGCUGGGCAGUAGCUGACACUGAGGCGCGACAGCGUGGGGAGCAAACAG